AAACAAAAAAUAAAAACUUUUAUUUCUCAAACAUUUUCAUCACCAACACAUUCCCAGAUACCUUCGUAGUUCAAACCCUAAGCCAAUCGAUCAAUCCUUAAUCUAAUCGAGCAGUUUUCUGAACUAUUUUAUUACCAUUAAUUCGAUCCUUAAUCCAAUCUACUUCCGAUGCGUCUCUUGUGAAAAGAUGAUGGGAAUUUGCAGUUGAAGAAGUUUCACCAUAUGCAAUGGAUCGUAAGUUGCUCAAUUGAUCGAUUUUUUUCUAACAACCUUCUACGCAUUCAAUGAUUCAAAUAGGUAAUUUCUGAGUUGAGUUCAAACUGAUGACAUAAAUGGAAGCUUUAAUUAGUCAUCACAGAUGUACAUAUUGUAAGGAUUCUUUAUAUGUAUAAUGAAUGUCAUGCUUGUGGUUAAUUCUAAUUUAGGUUAUUAAGUGAUUUGAGUAUAUAUGUUCAUAAUGUUUAUAGUUGAAAC
rnacentral:lncRNA from 1 species